GUGCCUAAUACAUGCAAGUCGAGCGAGCGGAACCAACAGAUUUACUUCGGUAAUGACGUUGGGAAAGCGAGCGGCGGAUGGGUGAGUAACACGUGGGGAACCUGCCCCUAAGUCUGGGAUACCAUUUGGAAACAGGUGCUAAUACCGGAUAAUAAAGCAGAUCGCAUGAUCAGCUUUUGAAAGGCGGCGUAAGCUGUCGCUAAGGGAUGGCCCCGCGGUGCAUUAGCUAGUUGGUAAGGUAACGGCUUACCAAGGCGACGAUGCAUAGCCGAGUUGAGAGACUGAUCGGCCACAUUGGGACUGAGACACGGCCCAAACUCCUACGGGAGGCAGCAGUAGGGAAUCUUCCACAAUGGACGCAAGUCUGAUGGAGCAACGCCGCGUGAGUGAAGAAGGUUUUCGGAUCGUAAAGCUCUGUUGUUGGUGAAGAAGGAUAGAGGUAGUAACUGGCCUUUAUUUGACGGUAAUCAACCAGAAAGUCACGGCUAACUACGUGCCAGCAGCCGCGGUAAUACGUAGGUGGCAAGCGUUGUCCGGAUUUAUUGGGCGUAAAGCGAGCGCAGGCGGAAAAAUAAGUCUAAUGUGAAAGCCCUCGGCUUAACCGAGGAACUGCAUCGGAAACUGUUUUUCUUGAGUGCAGAAGAGGAGAGUGGAACUCCAUGUGUAUCGGUGGAAUGCG
rnacentral:rRNA from 1 species